GAGAUCAGCUUGUACAGUAUCAGUUAGUUGGUGGGGUAAUGGCUUACCAAGACUAUGACGCUUAACUGGUUUGAGAGGAUGAUCAGUCACACUGGAACUGAGACACGGUCCAGACUCCUACGGGAGGCAGCAGUGGGGAAUAUUGCACAAUGGACGAAAGUCUGAUGCAGCAACGCCGCGUGGAGGAUGACACAUUUCGGUGCGUAAACUCCUUUUAUAUGAGAAGAUAAUGACGGUAUCAUAUGAAUAAGCACCGGCUAACUCCGUGCCAGCAGCCGCGGUAAUACGGGGGGUGCAAGCGUUACUCGGAAUCACUGGGCGUAAAGAGCAUGUAGGCGGAUUGAUAAGUUUGAAGUGAAAUCCUAUAGCUUAACUAUAGAACUGCUUUGAAAACUGUUAAUCUAGAAUGUGGGAGAGGUAGAUGGAAUUUCUGGUGUAGGGGUAAAAUCCGUAGAGAUCAGAAGGAAUACCGAUUGCGAAGGCGAUCUACUGGAACACUAUUGACGCUGAGAUGCGAAAGCGUGGGGAGCAAACGGGAUUAGAUACCCCGGUAGUCCACGCCCUAAACGAUGCACACUAGUUGUUGUGAGGCUAGACCUUGCAGUAAUGCAAUUAACACAUUAAG
rnacentral:rRNA from 1 species